AACUCUAACAUGUGUGCGAGUGUUCUUGAAGGGAACGAUUGAAGUCAGUCGUACCGUGCGGAUAAUCAGCUUUUUGAGUGUGAUUAUGUGGUUUAUGAGGAGUUUAACCGCCUUCAUGUAUUGCAUAUUUGUG
rnacentral:rRNA from 1 species